UGCUGGAUCAUUACCU
rnacentral:rRNA from 1 species